GAUGAAGAUGGUGAGAUCAAGAUGAUGAAGAAGAUGACAUGAUGAUGGUGGUUUCAUGGCUUCAUCUUCUUCUUCCUUCCUUCAUUUUCUUCUCUUCUUCCUCUUCCUCUUUCCUCUUUUCCUCUCUCUUUCUUUUUCUCUUUUUCCUCUUUCUUUCUCUUUCUCUUCUUUUCCCCUUUCUGAUAACUCUCUCUUUCAUUCUUAUCUCUUCCUACUACUUCUUAUCCUUU
rnacentral:lncRNA from 1 species